UGGGGAAUAUUGGACAAUGGGCGAAAGCCUGAUCCAGCCAUGCCGCGUGUGUGAAGAAGGUCUUCGGAUUGUAAAGCACUUUAAGUUGGGAGGAAGGGCAGUAAGCGAAUACCUUGCUGUUUUGACGUUACCGACAGAAUAAGCACCGGCUAACUCUGUGCCAGCAGCCGCGGUAAUACAGAGGGUGCAAGCGUUAAUCGGAAUUACUGGGCGUAAAGCGCGCGUAGGUGGUUCGUUAAGUUGAAUGUGAAAGCCCCGGGCUCAACCUGGGAACUGCAUCCAAAACUGGCGAGCUAGAGUAGGGCAGAGGGUGGUGGAAUUUCCUGUGUAGCGGUGAAAUGCGUAGAUAUAGGAAGGAACACCAGUGGCGAAGGCGACCACCUGGGCUCAUACUGGCACUGAGGUGCGAAAGCGUGGGGAGCAAACAGG
rnacentral:rRNA from 1 species